CCCGUCCGCGCAGCUCGUCCGGCCCGCCCGCAGGCCAGCUUCUCUCGGGAGCCUCCACCCAGGCGCAUGGCUCCAUGAAGCAAGAGGAGGAGGCAGAGCGCGAGAGAUCCCGUCCGCCCCAGCCGCGUCUGGGCCAGGAGAAAAGCAAAACCAUAUUCCUGCUGCUGUCAGUUUUGAUGCACUGAGAAAACUUCAGAGACCUAAGCUUUUUCCAGAGAAGAGAAGCUUUACUGGUGUUCCAGCCCUAAGGCUCAUAUGACAUUAACAGACAAGACACUUUUCAGAAAGACAGAUGGAGUCUCUCUGUCACCCAGACUGGAAUGCAGUGGCAUGAUCUUGGUUCACUGAAACCUCUGCCUUUCUGGUUCAAGCAAUUCUCAUGUUUCAGCCUCCCAGGCAACGUGUUGGACCUUCCGGAGCUUCUCAGAAGACAGAGGGUUUUCUUUUGAGGUAAAUUUGAUAGUACAUUUUGAUAGUACAGGAGGCGAUACGGCAUGGUGACAGAAAAGCGCCGGCUUGGUUAGCGGGACCACCUGGCAGGGCUGCAGGCUGUGCCACUUACCAGGCAGGGGACCUUGGGCCAGCUGCUUGGCCUCACUCACCCUGUUUCCUCAGCUGCAAUUGGGAUGAACAGACUGCCUGCUUCGGGGUUGCCUAAAACUCACAUUGCUUAAUGAUGUGAAAUGCUUAGCGCAGUGCCUGGCAUAGAGAGAAUUCUCAUUAGAUGAUACCUCAGCUGGGCUUUAGGAGCUACAGAAGAAGCUGCAUCUCCAUGAGCUCAGCGUGUUUCUAGCUUUCCUUUUUGUUUUCUAUUCAACCUUUCACCCAACUCAGCUUCUCAAUCCCUAAAUGACAAAGGUUUGGGAAGGAAGACUUGGACCGAUGCUUGCAUUUGUUUCUGAGAAUUAAACGUUAUGUUUUCUUCAAUCCAAA
rnacentral:lncRNA from 1 species